rnacentral:rRNA from 1 species
GGAUCUUCCACAUGGACGCAAGUCUGAUGGAGCAACGCCGCGUGAGUGAAGAAGGGUUUCGGCUCGUAAAGCUCUGUUGUUAAAGAAGAACGUGGGUAAGAGUAACUGUUUACCCAGUGACGGUAUUUAACCAGAAAGCCACGGCUAACUACGUGCCAGCAGCCGCGGUAAUACGUAGGUGGCAAGCGUUAUCCGGAUUUAUUGGGCGUAAAGCGAGCGCAGGCGGUCUUUUAAGUCUAAUGUGAAAGCCUUCGGCUCAACCGAAGAAGUGCAUUGGAAACUGGGAGACUUGAGUGCAGAAGAGGACAGUGGAACUCCAUGUGUAGCGGUGAAAUGCGUAGAUAUAUGGAAGAACACCAGUGGCGAAGGCGGCUGUCUGGUCUGCAACUGACGCUGAGGCUCGAAAGCAUGGGUAGCGAACAGGAUUAGAUACCCUGGUAGUCCAUGCCGUAAACGAUGAUUACUAAGUGUUGGAGGGUUUCCGCCCUUCAGUGCUGCAGCUAACGCAUUAAGUAAUCCGCCUGGGGAGUACGACCGCAAGGUUGAAACUCAAAAGAAUUGACGGGGGCCCGCACAAGCGGUGGAGCAUGUGGUUUAAUUCGAAGCUACGCGAAGAACCUUACCAGGUCUUGACAUCUUCUGACAGUCUAAGAGAUUAGAGGUUCCCUUCGGGGACAGAAUGACAGGUGGUGCAUGGUUGUCGUCAGCUCGUGUCGUGAGAUGUUGGGUUAAGUCCCGCAACGAGCGCAACCCUUAUUACUAGUUGCCAGCAUUAAGUUGGGCACUCUAGUGAGACUGCCGGUGACAAACCGGAGGAAGGUGGGGACGACGUCAAAUCAUCAUGCCCCUUAUGACCUGGGCUACACACGUGCUACAAUGGAUGGUACAACGAGUCGCGAGACCGCGAGGUUAAGCUAAUCUCUUAAAACCAUUCUCAGUUCGGACUGUAGGCUGCAACUCGCCUACACGAAGUCGGAAUCGC